rnacentral:lncRNA from 1 species
GGUAUGAUAACUAAUAUACCUAAACAUACAUGCUCAGAAUGCAGAUGAUUUAUCUUACCCCAAAAUCAACGUUUUGAGUUUAAUCAGUGAUGCAUGUGUGAAAGACUGAGCUGAGAUUACUUGACCCUGUAUGUGUGAAAAGCUGAUCAAAGGAGCAAAAGGGUUUCACAGUUUAAUCAGACCUAAGUCAGUAUUAGCUCGCUAACCAGAUUAGGAAAAUAAAUCUUGAAAGAUAUCAUCAUAUGUGGCGGACAACAUCAAAUUCAGGGAGAUUUAAAGAACUACAUCAAAUCAAUUGGAAGUAUUACCAAAUCCUAUAUGAUCAGGUGGA